rnacentral:rRNA from 1 species
GCAUCGAUGAAGAACGUAGCAAAAUGCGAUAAGAANUGUGAAUUCCAGAUUCAAGUGAAUCAUCGAAUCUUUGAACGCACAUUGCGCCC